CUUAUUCAUCCUCAGUUCACUCCUCUGAAUUAAGUCGACAUUCAUGUUGACAAUUUCAGCAUGCUGAGCCUUAGUCGACUUUAGUUCUUCCUUGGAGGCCUUCACUUCUUCCUUAGCUUGGGCCAACUCUUUCUGAAGACCUUCGUUAGUAUGAAGAAGGCCUUCACGGUGAGUCCUUUCCCGAGCCAGGGCAGAUUUUAAGAGGGAAUUUUCCUUCCUCAGCGCCUCCUCCUCGGAUUCAGCUUGGAGAGAUCUGGGACGCAGACGUCCGAAUACAGCAUUUGCCUGUACAUGUUCAGUGUUAUUCAAUCAGCUUCAGAUGUGUGAGUAUGAAAAUAAGUAAGCAAAGGAAGGAAAGAGUCAUUUACCUUAGCCAAGUAGCUCAUGCCUUCGCUGAGCAAGUCCCCAUUCGAACUGUUCCCGAACCGAUGGUCAUCGGUCUCGCGAACGAAGGCCUCGAACAGUUGAAAGGGGAAAUUGGCGUUGAACCGAGGCCACAUGGUCGGUGGACCCAUGGCAUCAUGCUGGAAUUCGGAGGUCAUCGGUCCUUGAGGAGGAGGCAUAGGCUGACUGCGAACCGGUGAAGGAUCCGCAUGCAUUGCCU
rnacentral:lncRNA from 1 species